rnacentral:rRNA from 1 species
AUCAGGUAGGAAUACCCGCUGAACUUAAGCAUAUCAAUAAGCGGAGGAAAAGAAACCAACAGGGAUUGCCCUAGUAACGGCGAGUGAAGCGGCAACAGCUCAAAUUUGAAAUCUGGCCUUCGGGUCCGAGUUGUAAUUUGCAGAGGAUGCUUUUGGCGCGGUGCCUUCCGAGUUCCCUGGAACGGGACGCCUUAGAGGGUGAGAGCCCCGUACGGUUGGACACCAAGCCUCUGUAAAGCUCCUUCGACGAGUCGAGUAGUUUGGGAAUGCUGCUCUAAAUGGGAGGUAAAUUUCUUCUAAAGCUAAAUACCGGCCAGAGACCGAUAGCGCACAAGUAGAGUGAUCGAAAGAUGAAAAGCACUUUGAAAAGAGGGUUAAAUAGCACGUGAAAUUGUUGAAAGGGAAGCGUUUACGGCCAGACCUUUUCCUGGCGGAUCAUCUGGUGUUCUCACCAGUGCACUUCGCCAGGUUUAGGCCAGCAUCGGCUUCUGUAGGGGGAUAAAAGCAGUGGGAAAGUAGCUCCCUCGGGAGUGUUAUAGCCCUAAGCAUAAUACCCUUACGGGGGCCGAGGACCGCG